AAAAUAUAUAUGCGCAAACAUAAAUCAUAACCUAAACUUUUUUAUCUCGCAAUAAUUUCUAGUAAUAGUUGUUUUAUAAUUGUUAAAAGACUUACAAAAUAUUAUAUCAAUUAUAUUAAUUAUAUUAAUUCUUACUUUGUAUGCACAUAUAGACCAGCGAAAAAAAGUUAGCAUAGAACCUCAAGAACUGAAAAAAAUUAAUAUAUGCAUUUAAUUGCUAGCUAUUUGCUAAUUCGAAAUCCAUAAAAUACUAUGUUCUUUGAUAGUAUUGAACCGUCAUCGCGUUAAGUAUGCCAACUUUUUUGCGCUAUACAGACAACAUAAAGGGGUAUAACUAUUUGUAAACAAUCAACCAAAGAAUACGGAAGUACAUAAAAGAAAAAGUGAAUUAGAAAUUACUAUAGAAAACUAUUACUAGUAGUUCAUACUUUGUCCAUUCGUGGCGCUGCAGUUGUCCAUGCUUCGAAUUCAAAAUGGUGGACAGCGUUUCCACUAGAUACGUAACAACAACAAUAAAAACGUGUUUAUAUAAAAGAAAAAAAUGUUUCCGCACCUUUGUCAUCGUCGUAAAAUAGUACUAUCGAUCAAUAAUGUCUUUGUGUAAAAUUAAUUUCUCAUAUGACGAUAACUCUUAUGGAAAUACGCAUGUGCCUUAUGUAGCAAAACAUCUUAUUUAUUUAUAAUAUUUAUUUAUUAUCAAAAUGUGCAAUGAUGGGUCAAGCGAUUAUGAUCGUCAGCAAUUAAAAAAAAGAUUUUAUAAAAAUGCCUUCGUACUUGAUCAAACAAAUACUAAUGAGGUUAUUUAUCAGAAAGAAGAAAUUAUGAGUGAUUAUGUUGAAUUAAAUAAAAUAUCUGAAAUCGAUACAACUACUUCAACAGUGCCUUCUAAAAUAUCUAAUAAAGAUAGUUUUGAAAAAAUUAUCAAAAACAAUGCACCAAUUAAACCGAACGACAGAAACGUACCUGAUUUCUUAGAAGAAAAUCAAAGCGAAGAACAACUUAAUAUUUGCUACGAAAGGAGACAUAAUAUGGAAUCAAAAGGUACACAGACAAAUAAUCACUUCAUAAAAGAUUAUCCGCAGCAUUAUUUGGUAGACAACAUGGAUCAUCAAAAUAUUUAUAGAUAUAAUCCAAGAUUAAUACAAUAUAAUCAAGAAUUAGCAUUAACAAAGUCACAUUUAUACAAUGUUCAUUCUAAUUAUAAAAAAUUAAAAUCUCGAUUUCACAAAUUACACGGAGAUUAUCAUAAACUUUUAAGUAUUGCUGCGGAAUUAACAGCAGUUCUUGAAAAUUCAGUAAAAGGACAACCUGUUGAUCUGCAAGGAAUGUUAGAGUCUUGUAUGAAGAUAUUUCCUGAUUUAUUUAAUCAAAACAUUAGAGAUGAAUUGCACGUAAAAGUACAACCGUCCAACGAUACAAAUAAACGAGAUAUUCAGCCUAAUUUUAAUAUCAUUAACAUAUCACCAAAGCUGUUAGAUUUUAAAAAGAUUAAAUUACAUUUAAUAAAUGGAAAUGUUAAGACAAAAUUGCUUCUCUUGCAAGCCUUACGAUGGAAAAUUACUUUAAGUCAACCUGGAGAAUGCGAUGAAUCUAUACAUGAAUAUAUAAGUAGAGAUUUAUUAGGAUUGCAUGGUCAGAUUGCCAGCGAUAAUGGAAAAUCAAUUUUACCAUAUUUACUAACACCAAAAAAUGUUCCAAUGCCGCAUCCAUUGCAACAAUCAGCAGCUAGAUUGUUAAAUGCUUUUGCAUCAUUACAAUGUGGUAGAGAUUAUUUAUCCAUGGAUUCAUCAGUGGUUAAAGUGAUAUUUAACUGCCUCAAUGACAACUACCAAGAUGGAGUAGAUUCUCUAACUUAUGAUAUGACACUAUCAACUUUACAAAAAUUAUCAUUGCGCAAGCAACAAAGAUUAUAUAUGAUAGAUAGCGGAUUGUUGGAAUGGUUGAUUUAUCAUUUACACAAUGAAAGUAAUACCAUGAGUUUUUAUAGAUUAAAAUAUGCGACAGCUCUUUUAAUGAAUUUAUCAUUGCAUAAGCAAGCACAAAUUAGAAUAUCUACUAAAGCAUCAUUACUCAUAUCAACUCUUAUAAUGCUUCUGGCAAUUGAUCAUCCUUCCGUAUCACCAUAUGUUAAUGGAGCAUUAAACAAUUUUCUUCUAAAUGAUCAAAUAAACAAUGAAGCAAAACAUGCCAAUCUUUCAUCCAUAUUGGAAGAAUUAUGUUCAAAUAAAAUUGGAGAAAUGAAGGAAUAUCUGGAACACAUACUGAAAGUACACAAACGUGAAUGCGCUAUCGAUAUAGAAGAUGAAACUAUUUCUGAUAAUGAUAAUGAAGAAUUUGAUGUAUUGGAAAACGAAUUGGAGGAGAACGAUCCUGUUAAAAAUCAUAGAACAGAAUUAUAUGGAGAAGUAUUGCUGUCAACAUGUUACAUGAUUACACCGGAUGCAUUUCAAAAAGAAUCUAUAACCAUUGGUAAAGUCUUGGCUAAAUCUUCAGACACAAAAUUACUUCCACUACAGAACAAUAAAAAACAUACUCAGUCUUGCAGUAAUACUAGUUCAUCUUUAUUACUUGAACAUAUUCCAAGAGAAAGUAGUACAAUGACGAUACCGUCUUCAAUGACUUUAGAAUCUGCACAUGAAAAUAAAAAAGGACUAGAAAAAUUCAGCAGUAUUGCAUCAUUGUGAGUGAGCAAUAAUGAAAUCAUUAUACAUUUUACUUUUACAGUUUUUGCACAUUUUUUGACAAUAGAAAUUCCACGAUUUUACGUGUCCUAUGACUUGUUGCCUCCUUAAGUUGAAGGACUAACAUAAACAAUGAUAGGGACGAAUUACCUGAUAAUGCUGCCGAUGUAAUUGAAUUUAACUGCGAUAAAGAAGAAGAAGCAUUUGUAGCUAAACCAAAAA
rnacentral:misc_RNA from 1 species